AUUGAACGCUGGCGGCAGGCUUAACACAUGCAAGUCGAGCGGAGCGAGGGUGCUUGCACCUUAGCUUAGCGGCGGACGGGUGAGUAAUGCUUAGGAAUCUGCCUAUUAGUGGGGGACAACAUUCCGAAAGGAAUGCUAAUACCGCAUACGCCCUACGGGGGAAAGCAGGGGAUCUUCGGACCGUGAGCUAAUAGAUGAGCCUAAGGCGGAUUAGCUAGUUGGUGGGGUAAAGGCCUACCAAGGCGACGAUCUGUAGCGGGUCUGAGAGGAUGAUCCGCCACACUGGGACUGAGACACGGCCCAGACUCCUACGGGAGGCAGCAGUGGGGAAUAUUGGACAAUGGGCGGAAGCCUGAUCCAGCCAUGCCGCGUGUGUGAAGAAGGCCUUUUGGUUGUAAAGCACUUUAAGCGAGGAGGAGGCUACUAGUACUAAUACUACUGGAUAGUGGACGUUACUCGCAGAAUAAGCACCGGCUAACUCUGUGCCAGCCGCCGCAGUAACAC
rnacentral:rRNA from 1 species